ACAAGGGCUCCACACAGAUGACCUGAACACAGAACAAAUGGGGCUCACCAUGGCAGCCGCCAGCAGUGGGUGUCUGAGGCAGGCCCUGGAGGGCCAGCUCCCUCUCCCAAGGCACACCGCCCACCAGGCUGCCUGUUGGAGCCUGUAGCCCCUGCCGAUGCAUCGGAAGGGCGAUGCCUCCAAGAUUUCGGGCCGUCUCUCCUUCUGUUGUGAAUUGCUCUCCUGUGUGCUCCUGGCAGGCCUGGCACCUUCAAAGCAUUCUGUGGAUAUUAACUAAUUAGUGUAAACACUGCAAUGCAGUGAUGACCUAUUAGGAGGCUGUUGUUGGUAUCAGAUGAUUAAAGGUGGUGAAAGCCUCCCCGACAGCUCUUCUGGGACUCAGCUCCAACUUUUCUCCCUGCAAGCCUGGUCUCAUGGCCUGGAGAAGCAUAAUGAGGUCAGAGUCUGGUGAAUUCAGAGUAGGUAAGAAAACGCAGUGCCUGCUGCCUCCGCCAGCUAACCCAAAGAAUCUGUGGCAAUGGCUGCUCAAGAAGAAAUCUUGGCCUGGACUACAGGAGACAAGAAGUUUGGACUCACGUGUGACCAAAGGAUCUGGGACUCCCAGUGUCCAUAGGUCAGCGCACAACUAGUGCCAAGGAGGACCCUAAAAGGAGAGCCAUGCGGCGGGGAGGGUCACAGGAGCCAGGGGGCUGGCUGCUGGGCCCUGCUGGGACACUGACCGGCUCCCUGAUCUCUGGAAAGUCACCUCAUUCAUUCAUUCAACAAACUCUCCAAAGCAUUAAAAACAUAGAUACCUGCAUUCUUGUCUCAUCAGCAAAUCACGGCACUCUUGCCUUCUAAAUUUAUCCAGAAUCAGCCACUUCUUACCUUCCCCAAAUAUCAUCAUGCGAUGACUCCAGUAGCCUCCCAACAGCUCCCCAUGCUUCCCCUAGCCCCCCGUCCCCCGCAGUGUCGGAACACAUCGAGUGUCAACACAGCAACCUCUUUGGCUCAGAAAACCCCAGCGGCCUUCAUCCUCAUCAGAGGAAGCACACAACCCUCACAACUUCCUUCUCUCACUCCCAACAGGCCUUCUUGCCUUCCUCCACGGCACCCAGCGCAUUCUGCUUUAGGGCCUUGACACUUGCAGUUCCCUGUGCCUUGAGCCGUCUCCCGCCAGAAACCGUUUGGCUCGCUUCUUCACCUUCCCCAAGAGGUCUUCCCUGUCCACACCAUCUAAACAGCGAUCAGCAAACUUUUUCUGGAAAGGGCCAGAAUGUAAACAUUUUCAGCUUUGCAAGCCGGGCAGUCUCCGCAGCAACUCUUCAACUCCAAGGCAGUCCUCGGCCACACAUGCAUGGAGGAAGAGCGCUGUAUUCCAAUAAAACUUUAUUUAUAAACACUGGCUACCAUGGACUGAUUUGACCCAGGGACCGUUGUUUGCCAACAGCUGAUCUAAAAAAUCAACUCACCAUUCCCUCCUCUCUCCUCAGCUCAGUUGUUCUUGGUGGUAUGCAUUGACAUGUGAUAUGUAGACAAUUGUCUACCUCUUUGUCACCUGCCUCUGCCACUGGAACAUCAGCUUCACAAGAACAAGGACUCGGUCUAUUUUGCUUAUUGCUGUAUCUCUAAAUCCUCAGACAGUGUCUGGCAUACAAUCAGCACUCGUAUUAAAAAUAAAUACAAGCCACACAUUAUGCAUCGGGGAGGAGGCCACCCACUGGCUUCUACAAAGAUCUGGGUUCUGUAACGAAAUCUUUUCAGCGUGGGUUUCUCUAAGGAGCAAGCAGGAAGAACAGGUAUGAGGAGCAAGACCUUCAGACCAGCCCACUGCCUGGAGACUUUGGACUCAAAUGAAAAGCACUGUCUGAGCCUUGUUUGGAAAGGAAACUCUCCAGUGUCUGAGCCUCAUAAUCAACCAGCAGGAAUGCUUGUGACAUUUCACAACAAAUAAUAACAAUUUCUUACCUCCGUGGGCUUCCUAAGAGGCAGUCAUACUGGCUCAUUUGACUUGCACAUACCUGUGAGUGGGUAAGUUCUAUAUUUUACCGAUGAGGUACACAAAGCGCAGAUAGCCUUGCCCAAGGUCACACCGGGAGGAAGCAGCCGGAGCCAGCCCAGAAUCCAGGCUUCCAGCUUCCACCGCAGUGCUGCUCUGACACAUCCUCCUUACAGGCCAGCCUCCUGUUUCCCCGAUGCAUAAGCCAGUGCUAACGCCACAUAUCACUUAACAGAUAUUCGCCGAGUCCCUAUGUUAUGCAAGAAACUGAACUAAGUGCAAUGCAGGAGGUAAAGAUACUCAAGUAAGUCCUGGUGGUAAAGAGACUCUACAGGAGAGCCAGUCUGACCUUCCAAGGCAGGAAUCUCCUUCUCGGCAUCGCAUGCUGGUUAUUCCUGUAAACCGAAGUCAUCACAAACUUAAAACAACAGCUUAAAACAGCAGCUUAAAACAACACGCAUUUGUUAUCUCACAGUUUCUGUGGGUCAGGAGUCUGGGUGUGGCUUAGCUGGGCCCUCUGCUUCAGGGUCUCAUCUAAAAGCUAUAGCCAAGAUCAGAGCUGCAGGCUUCUCUGAGGCUCAACCGAGGAAGGAUCUGCUUCCCAGCUCCCAUGGAUGGUCGCAGCAUUCAGUUGCUUGUGGCUUCUUAAAUGGAAAGCCUCACUUUCUUGCUGGCUAUUGGCCAGAGGUCACCAUCAUGUCAUGCAUUGGACAGAGGCUGCUGUCAGCUCCUUGCUUUGUGGGCCUCCCCAGUGUGGCCACUUACUCCAUCAAGGCCAGCAAGAGAGUCUCUCAGCAAGACAGAUGUCACAAUCUUAUGAAAUCACAAGAGUGACAUCCCGUCACUUUGCUGUAUUCUCUUGCAACGUUAAAGGCAAGUCACAGGUGCUGCUUGCACUGAAGGCGAGAGGACUGCAUAAGGCCGUGAACACCAGCAGGUAGGACCGUGGGGCCAGCAUCCACCCUGUCCACCUCAUCUGCUAGGUCUUCCAACUCUCCCUGAACAUCUUCAGAGACACACUGACCACUCCCUCACAAGGCAGCUCAUUCCAUUCUGAUGUCACUUGAAUGGUUAGAAAGUUCUUCCUAGCCUCAAACCCAAAUCCAUCUCCCUAUGGCUUUUAAUCAUUGUUCCAAGCCCUGCAGUCUGGAGUGACAUAGAAAAAUUCUAAUCUGGGCCAGGCACGGUGGCUCACCCCUGUAUUCCCAACACUUUGGGAGGCCAAGGCGGGCAGAUCACUCGAGUUCAGGAGUUCAACACCAGCCUGGCCAAUAUGGUGAAACUCUAUCUCUACUAAAAAUACAAAAAAAUUAGCUGGGCAUGGUGGCACAUGCCUAUAGUCCCAGCUACUCGAGAUGCUGAGGUGGAAGAAUCUCUUGAACCCAGGAGGUGGAGGUUGCAGUGAGUCGAGAUCACACCACUGCACUCCAGCCUGGGUGACACAGUGAGACUCCAUCUCAAGAAAAAAAAAAAAAGAAAAAUUCUAAUCUGGCAGAAGUUGGACUCCAGGAGGGCAGGGAUUUGCUGUAUCCUCUUAGAAGAGGGUUGUUGGAAAGUUCCAGGCACAUCAAAGAUAUUCCAUAAUUACAUGUCGAGAAUAGAGAACAGAGUGGUUCAAGAAGUUGUCUCAGCAGCUUAUUCGCUGCUUUCAAAUGCAGAGUUGGCCUUGUAUGGGAACUUGCUUACCCUGUGUCUCGGGGGACAGACCUUCAUAGCCUUCCUUGGGAGACCGGCACUUUAAGAGGCUCUAUUCCAACCCUGACACAUGACUUGCUCAAGGUCACAUAGCUGGUAAAUGGCAGGUGUCAGAAGCCAGGCCUCUUGACUGCCAGCAUUUCUCUGCCUCUCUAUCUUUGUGUGUGACUGAAUGUGAGACAGGGACACCAGACAGGCCUAGACCCUGCAUCCUGGGAGUUUGCAACUCAAAGAUAUUUCCUCUACUUUCUGUGAACUGCCUUGAUCCCUGGCCAGCAAACUAGAUGUGGUAUCCUCAAAGCCAGACACAGGUGAGCAGCGGGCCUCUGCGGGCUGCAGCAGGGAUCCAGGUAGUCAUUUCCUGCUUUCACUUAGGACUGCUGUGCACCUGCUCUCCUUCUCCCACCAGGAAUAACCACACCCAGUGUACCUCCUAGGGUGUCGGGGCCUCCCCAGCACUGAGUGCCCAGCCUAGUUCAGCCUCCAGGCUUCCAGUUUCCUGGCAGUCAAGUCCAUUUGCUCUGGAGCUUUGCAAGGGGCCCCCAGGUCCUUCAUCACUGCACCUGCAGCUGCAGUAUAGGCCUUGACCCAUGGCGAAUUCAGCAAGGGUUGAAUGGAUGAUUUGAGUCCACAGGAUCUGAAGACCUUGGCUGGGAAUGUCAGAGGCGAGGCACAGCCUGCCUGAGCCCAGUGAGAGGAGAGGCAGAGCAUCUACAGGGCUUCAGGAGGCCCCUGCUGCAACCCUGCCUGCAAGUGAGUGAGUCGGCUGGAGCUGAGGCUGAGUUUCAAGUUCUAGGGAAAUGGAAAGGCCACGAGAAGAAGUAGGACCCGAAAGAAACUUUCCCUUCUUGGAAACGUCCGUGUCGCCAUUAUCCCCAACAACUUCCUUUUCACCUCCCUGCCUCUAAGGGACCCUCCCACCAUCAGCUUUCUCCUCUUUAUCCUGUGCCUCCAACUUCCCCCUUCCAUGGCUGCUACAUAAUAAGCAUUCAAUAAAUAUGAGUCAUUAAAUAGUCACUGCUGUUCCUGCCUCUUCCCCCUCUCUAUAUUAACACAUUCAGUGUUCUAUCACCUAAGAAAACUAAAACCUUCCAAAAUGU
rnacentral:lncRNA from 1 species